CUGCGAGUGAAGCGGCAAAAGCUCAAAUUUGAAAUCUGGCGCUAAUCGCCCGAGUUGUAAUUUGGAGGGGUAUCUUCGGGAGCUACACCGCCCUAUGUUCCUUGGAACAGGACGUCACAGAGGGUGAGAAUCCCGUGCUUUGGCGGAUUGUAGCAACCAUGUGAAGUGCCUCCGACGAGUCGAGUUGUUUGGGAAUGCAGCUCAAAAUGGGUGGUAAAUUUCAUCUAAAGCUAAAUAUUGGCGAGAGACCGAUAGCGCACAAGUAGAGUGAUCGAAAGAUGAAAAGCACUUUGAAAAGAGGGUCAAACAGUACGUGAAAUUGUUGAAAGGGAAGCGCUUGAGAUCGAACUCAGUUGAUGGCACACAGCCGAGCUUCUGCUCGGUACACUGGCCAUUGACUGGGCCAGCAUCGGUUCUGACGGCGGGAUAAAGGCGUAUGGAAAUGUGGCUCACCUUCGGGCGAGUGUUAUAGUCCUGCACCGUAAUACCGCCAGUCCGGGACCGAGGACCGCGCUUCGGCUAGGAUGCUGGCGUAACGGUCUUAAGCGACCCG
rnacentral:rRNA from 1 species